GUCUCCGUGGCGCAAUCGGCUAGCGCGUUCGGCUGUUAACCGAAAGGUUGGUGGUUUGAGCCCACCCGGGGACU
rnacentral:tRNA from 1 species